GAGGAUAAACUUUUUAACUAGCAGCGGAAAUGGCCCUAACACGUGGGCACUCAACAUUCAAAAUCAAGUCUCAAUAAGUAGCUUUAAAUACUUUAUUUCAAAUUCCAGGUCCAUACUUGCCACAUCCCGAAUCAGCUUCACUCUGCUCCUGCAAUAACUUUCAAAACACCCUGGUGGGUGGUUCGGGGUCAGUCUUUUGUGCUCUAAUCUCAAUAAUCAAUAGUUAAUAAAAACAUGUUGCCAACAUAAUAUUCAACUUCAUCUAAUCAUAUAGAGCUAUC
rnacentral:lncRNA from 1 species